GAUGAACGCUGGCGGCGUGCUUAACACAUGCAAGUCGAGCGGUAAGGCUCCUUCGGGAGUACACGAGCGGCGAACGGGUGAGUAACACGUGAGUAACCUGCCCUUCUCAUCGGAAUAAGCGUUGGAAACGACGUCUAAUGCCGAAUAUGACUUCGGAGGGCAUCUUCUGAAAUGGAAAGCUCCGGCGGAGAAGGAUGGACUCGCGGCCUAUCAGCUAGUUGGUGAGGUAACGGCUCACCAAGGCGACGACGGGUAGCCGGCCUGAGAGGGUGACCGGCCACACUGGGACUGAGACACGGCCCAGACUCCUACGGGAGGCAGCAGUGGGGAAUAUUGGACAAUGGGCGCAAGCCUGAUCCAGCAACGCCGCGUGAGGGAUGACGGCCUUCGGGUUGUAAACCUCUUUCAGCAGGGACGAAGCGAAAGUGACGGUACCUGCAGAAGAAGGACCGGCCAACUACGUGCCAGCCGCCGCAGUAA
rnacentral:rRNA from 1 species